AACGCGAAGAACCUUACCAGGUCUUGACAUCCCUUGCAUAGCCUAGAGAUAGGUGAAGCCCUUCGGGGCAAGGAGACAGGUGGUGCAUGGUUGUCGUCAGCUCGUGUCGUGAGAUGUUGGGUUAAGUCCCGCAACGAGCGCAACCCUUACUAUUAGUUGCUACGCAAGAGCACUCUAAUGGGACUGCCGUUGACAAAACGGAGGAAGGUGGGGAUGACGUCAAAUCAUCAUGCCCUUUAUGACCUGGGCUACACACGUAAUACAAUGGCGCUUAACAACGGGAAGCGAUACCGCGAGGUGGAGCAAAUCCCCAAAAAGCGUCUCAGUUCGGAUCGCAGGCUGCAACCCGCCUGCGUGAAGUCGGAAUUGCUAGUAAUCGCGGAUCAGCAUGCCGCGGUGAAUACGUUCCCGGGUCUUGUACACACCG
rnacentral:rRNA from 1 species